rnacentral:lncRNA from 1 species
UCUCCCGCUUUCCACUAAUGGCUCCCAAAAGAGACCCAUCACCCCAACAGCUUCCCUGUCACCUGCUCUCGCCCUCGUCGCUUUUCUUGUCGCUGUCACCGCGAUCGCCCCAUUCCUCUUCCUCUUCUCGAUGGGAUUUCGCGUCUGAUCAACCCUAACUUUCUUGAGGAACUCGCGGCGGGCGGGGGGCCCGCCAGCUGCGCAGGGGGCGGCGCUCCUCGGCGGCGCCGCCUGGCCUCCUCCUUCCCCGCAGGGUGGGUUACAAAGCUUAUGAGAGAACAUUUCUCGCAGAUUGUUCCCAUUGGGACGCUGAUGGCCUCAGAAGUUCUUGACGCUGCAAGUGAGAACCCGCGAGGAGGAGGAUCACAAGACGAAAUUGUCAAUCAUGUGGGAGAUCACGUCUGCACCAGCUGAGUUCAAGCACUGGGUCUUGACCUGAACAAGUCAAAGAGAAAAAGGUUAGUCAUUUGAUCAGCUGUGGGCUCCCUGUGCCGAGGUCAGCUUGCUGCGAUGUACAACAACGCCUGAGCUGCAGAAUUCAUUGAAUCUCUGACCCAGAAUCAGGGUUCCAUGGGAUCGACCGGCAGAAUUAACCAAAUGGGGAAAGCAUCAUGGGUUAGUGAUGCAGUAUUAAUAGGAGAGCACCCUGUAAGAUCCCGUCUUCUCCCAUGAAAUCCAUGGCUAUUACUGGGCUGUUGUAGCCAGGCUCGUCCUUCUCUUGGCGAGUGACUGGUUGUAUGGAAUUUGCCGAUAUGGCUAUAAUAAUCUUCCGUUACUAAAGGGGUCUGUGUCAUUUUUUCUGUUCAUUAUUGGUGAUCGUCUUGAUGAGCGCACAGAGUUCUCCAGCUUCACCUCUCUGUGGACACUCUGAUAGUUGAUAGGAUUGUAGCACAAAAAAUUGAUGAAAUAGAUUUUCAAUUGAAAAAAAAAUCCUAAAAAAGGGCAAUUCUUUCCUUGCACCUGACAUGUCCUCUCUAGACUCUUAUAAGCAAGACUAGCCUCAUAAAAAACUUAAAAAAAGCAUUGAACCUCUUGCUGUAGUGUUUUUUAACCUUAUUUAUUGAAAGCCAGUUUGGAAUGGCUCAAAUGAAAUGAAAAAAAAAAAAACAGAGCGUGUGACAGAACGUGCCUGAAUGGUAUCGUGGGCCAAGAAUCUUUGUAUGGUUUUGUGGAAGCUGACGUCUACUUUUUCCCAGGAAACCUUGUUGAGCGAAUCGAUCAUCGCCUCUGUGGACGAACACAAGAACCACAGUCAGAAGUAACUUAAGGAAAACGUCGUGCGGGGCCAAGUCUACCAUGGCACAGCCUCUUCCAUCCGAUCACUCAAGUAGGAAUAUGAUUUGACCACAGAUUACUGUGCCCGAGAGCCAAAAUUGAAACUUGCACAGCUGGGCCUCGUAUGGGCUGCAACGACGUUCUUGCCUGUUCUUGUUCAGUGGCACAGCUGGGACUCCAUGCUACAAGAGAUGCAGCCAAAAGGGUUGGCAACUCACCAGAGACUCUGUAUGGAAGCGCUCACUCUGAUGUUUUAUGGAAACCUCCAUUACAACUUCAUCAGAAGAUGAAGCUCUAGCUCUGGCUCUCCCUUUUAUUAUUAUUAUUAUUAUUAUUAUUCAUCUCCUUAACCUGCAGUUGGUUUCUCAUUUAGUUCUUCUUUCCUCUUUCAGACCCACAAGCCGGC